rnacentral:rRNA from 1 species
UUGAACGCUGGCGGCAUGCUUUACACAUGCAAGUCGAACGGCAGCACGGGGGCAGCCCUGGUGGCGAGUGGCGAACGGGUGAGUAAUAUAUCGGAACAUAUCCGGGAGUGGGGGAUAACGUAGCGAAAGUUACGCUAAUACCGCAUAUGCCCUGAGGGGGAAAGUGGGGGAUCGCAAGACCUCACGCUUUCGGAGUGGCCGAUAUCGGAUUAGCUAGUUGGUGAGGUAAAGGCUCACCAAGGCGACGAUCCGUAGCUGGUCUGAGAGGACGACCAGCCACACUGGAACUGAGACACGGUCCAGACUCCUACGGGAGGCAGCAGUGGGGAAUUUUGGACAAUGGGGGCAAGCCUGAUCCAGCCAUUCCGCGUGAGUGAAGAAGGCCUUCGGGUUGUAAAGCUCUUUCAGCAGGAACGAAACGGUGGCUACUAAUACUAGCUACUAAUGACGGUACCUGAAGAAGAAGCACCGGCUAACUACGU